UACGUAGGUGACCAGCGUUGUCCGGAUUUACUGGGCGUAAAGAGCGCGCAGGCGGUCGUUCAAGUCGAGUGUGAAAGCCCCCGGCUCAACUGGGGAGGGUCAUUCGAUACUGAUCGACUCGAAGGCAGGAGAGGGAAGUGGAAUUCCCGGUGUAGUGGUGAAAUGCGUAGAUAUCGGGAGGAACACCAGUGGCGAAGGCGACUUCCUGGCCUGUUCUUGACGCUGAGGCGCGAAAAGCUAGGGGAGCAAACGGG
rnacentral:rRNA from 1 species